UCAGCAGCCCGCGGUAAUUCCAGCUCUGUAAGCGUAUACCAAAGUUGUUGCAGUUAAAACGCUCGUAGUCGGAGGUUGGCGGGCGACCUGGGGCGUCUUCACGGACGGAUCCAGGGCGGCCGCCUUUGUGGAGGGGGGCCCGGUGGAGCUUCACUGCGUCACCGUGGUCGCUGCCACCGUUUACUGUGAAAAAAUUAGAGUGUUCAAAGCGGGCGUUUGCCAUGAAUACAUUAGCAUGGAAUAAUAGAAUAGGACCUGUUUCCUGUUUUGUUGGUUUGUGAGGAACGGGUAAUGAUUAAGAGGGACGGUUGGGGGCAUUUGUAUUCCGGCGUCAGAGGUGAAAUUCUUGGAUUGGCGGAAGACAAACAGCUGCGAAAGCGUCUGCCAAGGACGUUUUCAUUGAUCAAGAACGAAAGUAAGGGGAUCGAAGACGAUCAGAUACCGUCGUAGUCUUUACUAUAAACGAUGAGGACUGGGGAUCGGGCAGGACUGUAUUUUGGCCUGCCCGGCACCCUUCGGGAAACCAAAGUGUUUGCUUUCUGGGGGGAGUAUGGUCGCAAGGCUGAAACUUAAAGGAAUUGACGGAAGGGCAUCACCGGGUGUGGAGCCUGCGGCUUAAUUUGACUC
rnacentral:rRNA from 1 species